UAACGGUAAGUGGACAAGAACAACUUGUGGCUGGGGGUCAGUGCUCCGGGAGCUGGGGAGGAGGGGCUGGACCGGGCUUUCUCUCCCACUGUUUCCUUUCAGCAUUUCUGGCCUUCUGUUCUCACGACCGUCCUGCUACCCGCGUCCAUCCUCCCGAUUGUCCAUGGUGUCUGCUAACAGACCAAAGAUGCCCCCCCUCUACCCUACGCCCGUCAUCUUUGUGAUCCUGCAUUUUCUCUUCAUGCUCCUCCUGCAUUUCCUACCCUUCCUUCUCUUUCCUGUACUUUUGUUACUAGUCUUCCUGCCCCUUCUGGCCCGAGACUCUGAGGAGGAUGAGGAAGCAAAGGAGGAGAACUAGUCUGGAGCGUCUUUAGGUGCAGUUGUUUCCCAAUGGAUGUUUCUAUAUGGGCAUUUAAAUGUCAUCAUUGUAACCUGCCAAUGGAGAUGAAGAAUUCAACUGAAUUAAGACCACCUCAGGCAGAGGGGGUUUAGUUUUAAUAAUGGGUUUUCCUUCAAAUGUUAAUGACAUCACAUUGUUUAUUACAUUGUUGUGUUUCAAAAUGUUCUUAUAUUGGAGAAUGUGGUCAAUUUGGAAACAUUGGUAAAAUUUUUAUAAGCUCUGUUGUUAGAAAAGCAAUCUAGAUGUUGUUAGAUUAAGAAAUGGACUGUAACAAUGUGCUUGAUGCUCUAAAGUACUCUAAUUUAAGAACUUAUACACUUGCACUUAUGCUUAUGAAUAAAGAGAAAUUUUACCUUGACUUGUUUGC